UCGUCGCCUGCGGGGGGGCCGCAACGGUGUUGCCGACCGCCACGAUCACGCCCGGGGAGGGCACGCCGUUCCUGUCGAUGGCGACGAGC
rnacentral:tRNA from 1 species